UACAGAGACUGCAAGCGUUAUUCGGAUUCACUGGGCGUAAAGGGUGCGCAGGCGGCCGUGUGUGUGAGGCGUGAAAGCCCGGGGCUUAACCCCGGAAUUGCACCUCAAACUAUACGGCUAGAGCAUUGGAGAGGGUAGCAGAAUUCAUGGUGUAGCAGUGAAAUGCGUAGAUAUCAUGAGGAAUACCAGAGGCGAAGGCGGCUACCUGGACAAUUGCUGACGCUCAGGCACGAAAGCGUGGGGAGCAAAAGGG
rnacentral:rRNA from 1 species